rnacentral:rRNA from 1 species
UACGUAGGGUGCGAGCGUUGUCCGGAAUUAUUGGGCGUAAAGAGCUCGUAGGCGGUUUGUCACGUCGGGAGUGAAAACUCGGGGCUUAACCCCGAGCCUGCUUCCGAUACGGGCAGACUAGAGGUAUGCAGGGGAGAACGGAAUUCCUGGUGUAGCGGUGAAAUGCGCAGAUAUCAGGAGGAACACCGGUGGCGAAGGCGGUUCUCUGGGCAUUACCUGACGCUGAGGAGCGAAAGUGUGGGGAGCGAACAGG